CAGAAACUGAAGCUGCAGGUGUAAUAAAGGAAUGAUCAUUACCUCUGGGACUGUAUGAAAAUGAAAUGGUAUGAAGAAAAGAUACUGAGCACAAUAACAUUCUCAGGUGCAUGAUCUACUCCCAUCACACUGGUCUCCUUGGAAAUCAUGAAGCUUGCUGACACUUCAGGGCCUUCGAUUUUUAUAUUUACUGUCCUCAGUAUGAAGGAUUCACCCUCAGGUCACUUCAGUGGCCAUUUGGGAUCAUAGACUCUCACGUCCUGCAGUGCGGUGCUGCCCCCCAAGUUUUCAGUGGCAGAUGAGACACAAAUGCUUGGCAUCCAACUGACUGGCCCAACUCUGAACUGAUGGUAAAGCAGGAGAACCUGAUCCUCCCAUCCCAAGUGAUA